rnacentral:lncRNA from 1 species
GGAAAAACAAGAUGAAACAGAGCUAGAGGAGAAAGGUGACUACCAAAGGGAGAGGAUAUUUGGCUUAGCUCCGGCCUAAUAAUUUUGGUAGUCUGGCAUUGUGAGUGGAGCACACAGCCGGCUGGAAGAAGUACUUGCUGAAGAAUGAUGCAGCAAGAUUACCAUCACAGCUGAGAGAAAAAGAACUAAUAUAAGAUGUACAAGUUCACAGACCAGAUAGGAAAGCAAAGAAUCUUCUGGAAGUCUUCAAUCAAUUCUAGUCAGUCUAAUGUGCCAAAUAUUGUUCUUUACAUAUGUAUACAUUGGAGUGUUGCUACAGUGAAAAA